rnacentral:rRNA from 1 species
UACGUAGGGGGCAAGCGUUGUCCGGAAUCAUUGGGCGUAAAGCGCGUGUAGGCGGCCAGGUAGGUCUGCUGUGAAAACUCGAGGCUUAACCUCGAGCUGUCGGCGGAAACCAUCUGGCUAGAGUCCGGAAGAGGAGAAUGGAAUUCCCGGUGUAGCGGUGAAAUGCGCAGAUAUCGGGAAGAACACCCGUGGCGAAGGCGGUUCUCUGGGACGGUACUGACGCUGAGACGCGAAAGCGUGGGGAGCGAACAGG